rnacentral:rRNA from 1 species
UACGUAGGGAGCAAGCGUUGUCCGGAAUCAUUGGGCGUAAAGAGCUCGUAGGUGGCUUGUCGCGUCUGCCGUGAAAGCCCAUGGCUUAACUGUGGGUCUGCGGUGGAUACGGGCAGGCUGGAGGCUGGUAGGGGCAAGCGGAAUUCCUGGUGUAGCGGUGAAAUGCGCAGAUAUCAGGAGGAACACCGGUGGCGAAGGCGGCUUGCUGGGCCAGUUCUGACGCUGAGGAGCGAAAGCGUGGGGAGCGAACAGG